rnacentral:rRNA from 1 species
AUUUGUCUGGUUAAUUCCGAUAACGAACGAGACCUUAACCUGCUAACUAGAUCUUAUUAUUUUAUAAUUUGCAUCUUCUUAGAGGGACUAUGUAAUCUAAAUACAUGGAAGUUUGAGGCAAUAACAGGUCAGUGAUGCCCUUAUAUGUCCUGGGCUGCACGCGUGCUACACUGAUGCAUACAACAAGUGCCUAACCAGACAUGGUAUGGCAAUCUCGAAUAUGCAUCGUGAUGGGGAUAGAUCUUUGCAAUUAUAGAUCUUGAACGAGGAAUUCCUAGUAAGUGCAAGUCAUCAUCUUGCAUUGAUUAUGUCCCUGCCCUUUGUACACACCGCCCGUCGCUCCUACCGAUACCGGGUGAUCCGGUGAACCUUUUGGACUCUUUAUGGGAAAGAUAAGUAAACCAUAUCACCUAGAGGAAGGAGAAGUCGAAACAAGGUUUCCGUAGGUGAACCUGCRGAAGGAUCA